UACGUAGGGGGCAAGCGUUGUCCGGAUUUAUUGGGCGUAAAGAGCGUGUAGGCGGCCUGAAAGGUCAGCUGUGAAAACUCGAGGCUCAACCUCGAGACGUCGGUUGAAACCAUCUGGCUAGAGUCCGGAAGAGGAGUGUGGAAUUCCCGGUGUAGCAGUGAAAUGCGUAGAUAUCGGGAGGAACACCAGUGGCGAAGGCGGCCUUCUGGACCAGUACUGACGCUCAUGCACGAAAGCGUGGGGAGCAAACAGG
rnacentral:rRNA from 1 species